rnacentral:rRNA from 1 species
CCUACGGGAGGCAGCAGUGGGGAAUAUUGCGCAAUGGAGGCAACUCUGACGCAGCCAUGCCGCGUGUAGGAAGAAGGCGCUACGCGUUGUAAACUGCUUUUAUCCGGGAAGAAACCCCAGGACGUGUCCUGGGUUGACGGUACCGGAGGAAUAAGCACCGGCUAACUUCGUGCCAGCAGCCGCGGUAAUACGUAGGGUGCAAGCGUUAUCCGGAUUCAUUGGGUUUAAAGGGUGCGUAGGCGGAACAAUAAGUCAGCGGUGAAAUCCUGCAGCUCAACUGUAGAGUUGCCGUUGAUACUGUUGUUCUUGAGUACGCUUGACGUGGGCGGAAUGUGCCGUGUAGCGGUGAAAUGCUUAGAUAUGGCACAGAACACCGAUAGUGAAGACAGCUCACGAAGGCGAAACUGACGCUGAGGCACGAAAGCGUGGGAUCAAACAGGAUUAGAUACCCUGGUAGUCCACGCCGUAAACGAUGAUCACUCGAGGUUGGCGAUAUACGGUCGGCCUCCUAGCGAAAGCGUUAAGUGAUCCACCUGGGGAGUACGAUCGCAAGAUUGAAACUCAAAGGAAUUGACGG